rnacentral:snRNA from 3 species
CAGUUUUACAACUCUUUUAGAAUGUGUCUAGUAGGUUUUCUGCUCUUUACCAGAAACCCUCU